rnacentral:rRNA from 1 species
AACAAACGCUGGCGGCGUGCCUAAUACAUGCAAGUCGAACGGGGAAAGCUUUCGGGUGAGUACUAGUGGCGCACGGGUGAGUAACGCGUGGAUAAUCUGCCUUAGAGUGGGGGAUAACUAGUCGAAAGAUUAGCUAAUACCGCAUAAGACCACAAGAACUGCGGUUCAAGGGGUCAAAGGUUUUUCGCUCUAAGAUGAGUCCGCGUAAGAUUAGCUAGUUGGUAGGGUAACGGCCUACCAAGGCGACGAUCUUUAACUGGUCUGAGAGGAUGAUCAGGCACACUGGAACUGAGACACGGUCCAGACUACUACGGGAGGCAGCAGUAGGGAAUAUUGCACAAUGGAGGAAACUCUGAUGCAGCGACGCCGCGUGAGUGAUGAAGGCCUUCGGGUCGUAAUGCUCUGUCGCAGGGGAAUAACACAAUGAAGGUACCCUGUAAGAAAGGAUCGGCUAACUUCGUGCCAGCCGCCGCGGUAAGAC